GUGCUCUACUUCAGCAGCACAUAUACUAAAAUUGGAACGAUACAGAGAUUAGUAUGGUCCCAGCUCAGGGAUUACACGUAGAUUCGUGAAGCAUUCCAUAUUUUA